GCCACUGUCAGCGCAGUACCUCCUCCCACUGCGCAGGACGUCGAUCGGUUCCACUCCUCCUCCCAAGGAGCCGAUCAAGUUCAAGGACCCCGGCGCCUCCUCCCGGCUCGGGGUUUUUUG
rnacentral:sRNA from 1 species